rnacentral:misc_RNA from 1 species
UAGGCUUGACAUGCAGGAUCUCCGAAGAGGGGCUCUCGUUUCUGAGAGCUUGCUCCUGCAUGUCAAGCCUAGGUAAGGUUCUUCGCGUUGCGUCGAAUUAAACCACAUGCUCCACCGCUUGUGCGGGCCCCCGUCAAUUCCUUUGAGUUUCAACCUUGCGGUCGUACUCCCCAGGCGGGGUACUUCCUGCGUUAGCGCCGGCACCCAGAGGGUCGCUCCCCCAGGCACCUAGUACCCAUCGUUUACGGCGUGGACUAC